rnacentral:rRNA from 1 species
UACAGAGGUCCCAAGCGUUGUUCGGAUUCACUGGGCGUAAAGGGUGCGUAGGUGGCAGGGUAAGUUUGAUGUGAAAUCUCCGAGCUCAACUCGGAAACUGCAUUGAAUACUAUCCUGCUUGAGGAUUGGAGGGGAGACUGGAAUUCUCGGUGUAGCAGUGAAAUGCGUAGAUAUCGGGAGGAACACCUGUGGCGAAAGCGGCUCACUGGACAGCAACUGACGCUGAUGCGCGAAAGCUAGGGGAGCAAACAGG